rnacentral:rRNA from 1 species
CCAACAUCUGAAUAAAGGGCUUAAACCCGCUGAAUUUAAGCAUAUUAGUAACCAGAGGAACCCCCAUCAAACUUGGAUUUUGUAAGUAGUUGCGAAUGAACACAAACUUGAUCACUUUGGCAAUCUGUGCACAUCAUUGUGCAACAAUUUGUAUAUGUAGGCACAGUGCUAUCAAAGCUGCAUGCAAGUGAUUUUUGAAAGGAUACAACAUGGGAUGUGAUAUUCAUGUGUGUGUGCCUGCUGUGUCCACAGCCUGUGCUGUAUGAAUCACAUUUCUUGCAACUGAAAUGCUAAUAGCAUGGUAAAGUUCAUGUGACAUGAUACAAGCUUGAGAUUCAUGAUGUGCAAGUACCAUGAGGGAAAUGUGAAAAGGACUUUGAAAAGAGAAUUAAAGAAAGCCUGCAUUUGCUGACAAUAAAAGCAAGUGUAGAUGUUCAUGUAAUUGUUACUGCAUCAAUCAAUGUUCAUCAUGGUUACUGCAUGCUUUAUAUUACAGCUCAGAACACGAAGUGUGUGUAACAGCUUUGCUUUGAUUUUUCCCACAUGGGAUCAGUUGAAACUUUGUGAGAGCACUCUUCAGUUCCCGCACGUACCCACCAGCUUUGUCCACUCGUGUGUUGGCACACAUGUAAUGAUGAUGUGUUUAUGCAAGAUACUUCUGUGCGCACCAACAUGUUGUGCAAAUCUUCACUUGACCCGUCUUGAAACACGGACCAAGG